UACAUAUCACUUUCAUAACCC
rnacentral:piRNA from 1 species